GAGGUUUUGGCUUAAUAAGAGCACCUGAUUUGCAGUCAGGAGGUGUAAUUUAGAGUUUUACAAGCCUU
rnacentral:tRNA from 1 species